AUGGCGAGAAAACCGCCAGCUCAGAAAGCCACUGUCGCAGGAGCCCGACCUCUCGCGCAAACAGCGCCAGACGCGCGCUGCAGGAGCGCGGAGCAUGGCGCGGCAUGGGCAGCCUUGGAGCCGGCUGGACCUGCAGCAGGAGCGCGACUUGCCAGAGCUCGUCUGGAGUGUCGCUGGCCUCAAGGACGAGACAGACCCCAGCUUCCAGCUCGCCCUAAACUUCGCCUGGUCCAACUUAAGACACGGGAUUUCACCGUGUUAGCCAGGAUGGUCUCAAUCUCCUGACCUCGUGAUCUGCCCCCCUUGGCCUCCCAAAGUGCUGGGAUUACAAGUAAAAGAAAGAUAAUUUUGACUUGGGAAAAUACUUGAUGGAAGGUGAAGAAAUGGACAUUGAUCCAGACAUGGACACACCAGUAAGUGACAGUAGUUUUGCUAUUAAAAAUUUAAAUACACACCAGGUGAUAGAGAUGAUUUUAAUGUGUCUUCCCACCUAGGUCAACUAAGCUAAAACAGGAACACUCUUAACUAAUCUAGAGUCAUUUAUUAUGGAAGUCUGGUUAGGAUUUUGCACCAAAUCACUAGGAUUAUCAAGUUACAAGGGGGUGGGCAUGGUGGCUCACACCUCUAAUCUCAGCACUUCAUUGAGAGGCUGAGGAAGGAGGAUUGCUUGAGCUUAGGAAUUUGAGACCAGCCUGGGUAACAUAGCAAGUUCUUAUGUCUAUUUUUUUAAAAUAGAAUUUAAAGAAAGAUGUUGUUUGGGCACAUUGGGCACACUGGCUCACACCUGUAAUCCCAGCACUUUGAGAGACCAAGGCAGGUAGAUCACUUGAGGCCAGAAGUUCGAGAGAAGCCUGGGCAAUAUAGUGAAACCCUAUCUAGUAAAAAUACAAAAAAUUAGCUGGGCAUGGUAGCACAUGCCUAUAAUCACAUCUGCUCGGGAGGCUCAGGCACGUGAAUAUCUUGAAGGUCAAGGUUGCAGUGAGCUGAGAUCAUGCCAUUGCACUUUGUUACCUGGGUGACAAAGUAAGAGACUAUCUCCAAAAAAGAAAAAAGAUAAGUUAAAAGGGUUGAGUAUAAGUAUCUCUUAAGAACCUGUGAUCUUGGGACUUUUUGCCACCAAAAAUAAUUCCAUUCCUUAUUGUUUCAAUGUUAUAGAAAAAAAUAAAAAGUAAUAAUUAUAUUUCCAUUCCUAUAAUAGGCACUUCCAAGAUAUUUAGAAAAAAAAAAUUCAUUUGGUUUUUUUUUUUCUGUUCCAUGUUGCUUCAAAAUUUUUGCUUUUCUUCAAAAUCUUCUUAGUCUUUUAAUAUAAAUAGCUUUAAGUGUUAUACUCUGUAAGGCUAAAGUGUAUUUCUUUUUUAAAUCAGAAUUGGUCUGAAGAAAGUGACGAGGAAAAUGAUCAAUAGCCAUUAAGCAGAGAGGACUCUGGAAUUCAGGUAGACAGGGCACCGUUAGAAGAACAAGAUCAAAACAGAAAACUGGGUCCUUGUGUCAGUUGGAAAGGUACUGUGUGUUGUGAGGUGCUGGCAUUUUCUAAUGGACAAAUUCCCUAGAAGAAAAGGCAAGCUCAAGAUCAGUUCCAUGGGAUCAAGGUAUCAGCUAAGUGGUAUCAUCUUUAUAAAAGCAAUUUUUAAAACUAUUAGUAAUCUUUUCUAUGUGAUGUUUAAGUAGUAGUACCAUAGAAUUAGUGUUGAAUUAAUGCAUGCAGAGUGUAAUUUUGUAAUUUUUUUCCU
ensembl:lincRNA